rnacentral:piRNA from 1 species
UGCGGGGUUUCCUGGACAUGUAUCGAUGC